UACGAAGGGGGCUAGCGUUGCUCGGAAUCACUGGGCGUAAAGGGUGCGUAGGCGGGUCUUUAAGUCAGGGUGAAAUCCUGGAGCUCAACUCCAGAACUGCCUUUGAUACUGAGGAUCUUGAGUUCGGGAGAGGUGAGUGGAACUGCGAGUGUAGAGGUGAAAUUCGUAGAUAUUCGCAAGAACACCAGUGGCGAAGGCGGCUCACUGGCCCGAUACUGACGCUGAGGCACGAAAGCGUGGGGAGCAACAGG
rnacentral:rRNA from 1 species